rnacentral:rRNA from 2 species
UCUAUCAUGCAGUCGUACGCACUGGCCAACUGAUUGAUGGUGCUUGCACCUGAUUGACGAUGGAUCACCAGUGAGUGGCGGACGGGUGAGUAACACGUAGGUAACCUGCCCCGGAGCGGGGGAUAACAUUUGGAAACAGAUGCUAAUACCGCAUAACAACAAAAGCCACAUGGCUUUUGUUUGAAAGAUGGCUUUGGCUAUCACUCUGGGAUGGACCUGCGGUGCAUUAGCUAGUUGGUAAGGUAACGGCUUACCAAGGCGAUGAUGCAUAGCCGAGUUGAGAGACUGAUCGGCCACAAUGGAACUGAGACACGGUCCAUACUCCUACGGGAGGCAGCAGUAGGGAAUCUUCCACAAUGGGCGCAAGCCUGAUGGAGCAACACCGCGUGAGUGAAGAAGGGUUUCGGCUCGUAAAGCUCUGUUGUUGGAGAAGAACGUGCGUGAGAGUAACUGUUCACGCAGUGACGGUAUCCAACCAGAAAGUCACGGCUAACUACGUGCCAGCAGCCGCGGUAAUACGUAGGUGGCAAGCGUUAUCCGGAUUUAUUGGGCGUAAAGCGAGCGCAGGCGGUUGCUUAGGUCUGAUGUGAAAGCCUUCGGCUUAACCGAAGAAGUGCAUCGGAAACCGGGCGACUUGAGUGCAGAAGAGGACAGUGGAACUCCAUGUGUAGCGGUGGAAUGCGUAGAUAUAUGGAAGAACACCAGUGGCGAAGGCGGCUGUCUGGUCUGCAACUGACGCUGAGGCUCGAAAGCAUGGGUAGCGAACAGGAUUAGAUACCCUGGUAGUCCAUGCCGUAAACGAUGAGUGCUAGGUGUUGGAGGGUUUCCGCCCUUCAGUGCCGGAGCUAACGCAUUAAGCACUCCGCCUGGGGAGUACGACCGCAAGGUUGAACUCAAAGGAAUUGACGGGGGCCCGCACAAGCGGUGGAGCAUGUGGUUUAAUUCGAAGCUACGCGAAGAACCUUACCAGGUCUUGACAUCUUGCGCUAACCUUAGAGAU